UUGCCCAGGAAGGAUAAGUAUCACACUGCUUGUCUUUUCUUUGCUAUAGAUUUGUGAGUUUUAGUUGCCUUCACUGGGCAUUAUUUAACAGCCUUAUCUCUGUUGCUGUGUGCUUUGAUUGUGGUGCAGACUGUCCCCUCACCCUCCUGUCAUGCCUCGUCCUCGUCGCUCUGCUCCCCCUCCCAGGCGCCUCGUGGAGGCAGGGAGUGCCCUCCGCUCCCGCUCUCCGAGCGUCGCUCCCCAGAGUGGGCUUUCCCCUGCUGCGGACAGGCGGCGGGGGCGGGCAGUUACAGCCCGCUCCCCUGCCGCACGGAGACGGGCGGCCAGCGGCCGCUCGUCACGUGGUUCCGGGGCGCGCGGCUCGGCCGAGCCGCGCACCCCGGCGCUUGCAGCAGGACGGGCCUCUCCCCGCCCUCCAGCUCCGGUCUCUUCCAGUCCCCCUCCGUCCCCCACCAGCAGCCGCAUGUCACAGGGCGCGGGUGCGCGCGACCCGGCUGGGCCGCGUGACCCGGCGCUUCCGGCGGCAAGUUCGUUCACUCACCCUCAGCCUGGCACCGCGGACGGCUCCCUUCCUCCACCCUCGCUCGUGGCUCCCGGCGGCGUCCUGGUGGCACAGGACCGCCGCAGCAGAGCUGCGGGGGGGGAGGUGGGGUUUAAUGUGCAGAGUGAUAUGAGCCCAGGGCAGCGGGUAGCGCCUCCCGCUGUCCCUGGGACAGUUCAGGACAGCACACUGCCAAAUUACAUCAGGGAGGCCAGCGCACCCCUGAUGAUUGGUGGCGACGCGGGGCCCCUGGUGUCCGGGACGGGGGACGUGGCGCCGGCUGCCGCCACGCCCGCCCCGGCUGCAUCAGCAUGGCAGGUUUUCCCCCCGGCAUCAGAGCCCUGCUUGGGCGCCCCCUGGGCGUCGGCUGCCCCGCCGCCAUGGGCGGCGCCCUCGCUUACAGGGUAUCAGUCUCCCCACGCCCUCCACGGUCCUUUGCAAUGCGGGUCCACGCAGGCGUCCGUAUCGACGGCUUAUUUUACGCACGGCGGGGCGCUCGCGGUAACAGCUCAGCAAGGCUACGCGGGGAGCCAGUCCUUCCCCGGGGGGUUUGCGUGGCCUCCGGCCCCAGCAUUCCCUUUUGCCGCCAGUAUGCCUUCCAUGGGUUUCUUGACCACGGCCGACACACAGUUUUCCCCGCGUGGGGCCAGCGCGUGCGCCGGCGGGCAGUCCACGUGGUCGGUCGGGGGACCCCGAGUCGCGGUGCCCAUGCCGGCCUUUGCGGGCCUGCAGCCAGGACAGGCACCGGGCGGGGGGUAUCAGGUGGCACAAGGUUGGCCCCCUCUCCCGGCGCCCCCUCAGUUCCUUCCGGCUUCAUACGGAGGGGCAGGAGCAGGCGUCUGCCUGCCGCAUGCGGCUUGGCGGCCAUCUUACCCCGCGAUUUUUGGCGCAGCAAGCGGGUCGGCCUUUACGCAGUCGAUCGGGUACACCUCGGCGGGGGCCCCCUCCCUACAGUUGCCGGGCGGCCAUCCGCCGCAGAGCGGAGGGGCGGUCCCUCCGCCGCCGCAAUUGCGGGCAAGUGUUAAUAAUGUUCUGGUUCCCCCUGUGCCUGUGGUCCCCUCUUCUUCUCCCUCACAGGUCCCGCCUAGUUCGGGGGCUACAACCGGCAUGAGGCGAAGAUCACGGACAAGCGGGACGGCGAACGUGGAGGUACGGCCAUCAGCGGAGGCGGGUGCAGCGGACGAAGAGGUUCCGGGUCCUUCGAACUCCGCUGUCAUCAAUUUUGGAGACCACAUAUGGAUGGUUGGUCAUUCAUACGUUUUUUGGGCAGAGAAACAUCCCAUGGCGGCUAGGGCGAAUGAGAUUUUUGGGUCCAGGCAGUUUAGAUGGCUAGGUGUUAGGGGCAUGUUAUGGGGUGAUUUGUUGCGCGUCCUGUUUGCACGGGAGCGCCGCUGGGGUCGCCCCAGUUGUAUUAUCAUCCAUCUGGGUGGUAAUGAUCUGGGCCGAGUGAAAGGCAUAGACUUGAUUUUGUCUAUAAAGGCGGAUGUAGUGGCUAUACGUUGUCACUGGCCUGGGGUAUGCAUUGUCUGGUCGGAAAUGGUGCCCCGUUUCCAUUGGCGUGGUGCGGUGCGUUUCUCGGCGCUGGAGAAAGCACGCAAAAAGGUGAACUCGACGGUGUCUCUGUUUGUCAAGGCCAUAGGCGGAGUGGCAAUUAAGCAUCCUCUGCUGGUGCUGCGGAACAGACAGUUCUAUAGAGACGAUGGGGUUCACCUUUCUCCGGAAGGAGUGCAGUUUUUUCUGGAAGAUAUUUUCGGUCUUUUUCGGUAGAGCUAGUUUGUUUCUGGUUGGUUAAGUUUCUGUUUGCGGAUGGCGGUGGCGGUUUGGUAAACCUUGGUGGCGGGAAAUCGCUGCCAACCAGCUGUCACACAGGCAUAAGUUGUCAUUGUGGGGCUCCCUCUUUAAAUGGACGGCAGGUGUGUCCUUUUCUUGCGGUUGGACAUUUAGACGUUCCCCUGCGGGAACCGAACGUUUGCCAGAGAAAGAGGGGUAAGGCCAGCACAAUGCGGGUUAUGCGGGAAGGAGGCGGGGUAUGUGUACUCCCCUCCUUGGUUUGGUGGUUUCCAUCUAGGUGACGGGUGCUGGUGGUUUGGCAGCGGUUUUCUGUUUUUGCCAUCCUCCAAACUAGAGUUAAUUAUAUAUUCAAUUUCAAUUCUAAUUCGGCCUCAAUUAUUAGUUUAAAGAGUUGGUCAGCGAUUAAUAAACAUCGUCUGACCUUUAACUCCAGCUACUGUGUCCGUGUCUUUAUUUCAGUGUGUGGUGUGGUUUUAUUUAGUGAUAAGCUAUCUUAAAUACAAGGUUUAUGUAAUCACAAUAAAGUUAUGAGCGGCUUAGAUAAGCUGAAGGCUGCAUAAGCCUGAGGCAAUAUAAGCGAUCAACUUUUUGUGAUUGGUUGUUAAAUGACUAAGCAGUUGCUAGGCAGAUCAGUUUCCCAGUUGGGUUUUUUCCUAUUGGAUUAGAGGGUUGUGCAUCAGGAUGGAGAGGAGGGUCUCAGUUUAGUAUAUAAGGGGUGGCCAUUUUGCCAGACUUCCUCUUGCCUUCAGUUUUGCCCGCCCGCCCUCCCAGAAUGCGGAUAGGUCUUGUUUUGCUGUGGGCUAUUGAAAGCCAGAUUGGCGGGAAAUCGCUGCCAACCAGCUGUCACACAGGCAUAAGUGGUCAUUGUGGGGCUCCCUCUUUAAAUGGACGGCAGGUGUGUCCUUUUCUUGCGGUUGGACAUUUAGACGUUCCCCUGCGGGAACCGAACGUUUGCCAGAGAAAGAGGGGUAAGGCCAGCACAAUGCGGGUUAUGCGGGAAGGAGGCGGGGUAUGUGUACUCCCCUCCUUGGUUUGGUGGUUUCCAUCUAGGUGACGGGUGCUGGUGGUUUGGCAGCGGUUUUCUGUUUUUGCCAUCCUCCAAACUAGAGUUAAUUAUAUAUUCAAUUUCAAUUCUAAUUCGGCCUCAAUUAUUAGUUUAAAGAGUUGGUCAGCGAUUAAUAAACAUCGUCUGACCUUUAACUCCA